ensembl:snRNA U6 U6 spliceosomal RNA
GUGCUCGCUGCGGCAGCACAUACACUAAAACUGGAACGGUACAGAGAAGAUUAGCAAGGCCCCUGCGCAAGGAUGACACGCAAACUUGUGAAGUGCUCCAUAUUUCU